GAUUCUACAUAUGCCCGUCUCUCUAUCCCCACGAGAACACGAACCAUCCCGGCCGCCCGGCGCUAGGGUUCCCUCCGCCGCCGCGCCCCAUCCCUCCGCUCCCAGCAACCCUCUCCACCCUCUCCCAUCCCCAGUCGUCGUCGUAGCCCCUCGCCGCCGUUCGAUAUCCAAGACGGAGCCUCGGCCGACAGCUCCUUGGAGCACGCCGCCCGCCGGUGGAUGCCCUGAUUCUGCGCGACCCCGCCGGAGACUCACCUCGCCACCUUGGCGCCUCCCGCAGGAUCUCCGCCACCGCCUAGCGCUUCUGUGCGCAAGGAUGCCGACGCCUCUCCCUGGUACCUCUAUCUCCACUCCCUCGGGGCGCUGCUCACUGCUCCACACCCCUUUCCUCUCCCAUCCAAUACGGCUCACGGCCUGCUACAGACGCCUGCCGGCUCCCGUGCAGGCCCUCCUGGUGGACAGCCUCCAGCCCACACAAGCUUCCCUGUUCUGGCUCUGUCGCCUACCAUGGUUGAGUAGAGCGAGGAGAUCGAGACGGGAAAUAGUCACUUGAUUUUUGCGGAUUAUGUUGAGCAUGGAGAUUGAUCUUAACUUUUUGGUUGUCCGCAGAUUCAAUGAUGACAACACGCACACCUUUCCCUGAUGCUUGGGCAAAGGCAUGUAUGUCCGAUGUGCAGGCAAAACUUUAUAGAUGCAGAUUACAUACAUUAGAAAUUGCCAACUCGGUGGAUGAUACCUACUAUGACUUGGGACCCAGAAAAAAGAUCAACACGUAGAUGCAGAUUACAUAGAUCAGGACUUGCUAACUCGGCGUAUGACACAUACUAAACGACAUCAACACGUAGGUAUGAGAGUUCGGAAUAUCCAACACGUAGGUGAGGCACGGGCUAUCACCGAGGUGAAGAAUUCUCUCCCGGUUGGUCUUACACAUGGAUGGCGCGCACUGCAAUUUUAUUUUCUUUUGAGCUGGAUGGCACUGCGCAAUCUGAUGUAGUGGAGUGGUUCAGUCUAUAAAUUGGUUUUGGCACAUUCAAAAUUAUUAGCUAGAUUUAAUCGUGAAUUCAUCUGGUUCUAUACAUGUUCUAGAGGUUUAGAGGUUUAGUUGCAAGGAUACCAUAUCGUAAGAUGCACAUUCACAUCUGAAGGUUAAAUGUAUUCAACAAAUCGGGUGACCAUGCGGUUGGAUCGCUGUUAUAUAUUGGUGAAAUAGGAACUUCUCUUUGAAAUAUGUACAUGAUUAUUUUUUGUCAUACUUGCAAAAAUCUCCUCCAUAAUCACUAUGCAUCCAAUGUGUACUUCUUAUCGAAGAUAAAACUAAAUUUUACAUGCUUUUAUACUGAUAUAUUUGACAGCAGAAUUUUUAAUUCUAAUAUUUUAAAUUGAAGAAAAACUUUGAUAUUUUGUGUUUCCCAAAUUAAAUAGCAUAUGAAAUCAAAAAUAGAAUCUAAAUUACUAUCAUAUGCAAAUCGCUGGUUUGUUGACUAUUUUUAUAAUAACAAAAAGGAGUACUUUUUUUGCCGAUGUUCCAUCCUUUAUCGCCCUUUAAAUAAUUUUAGAUCUUUUUUUGUGGGAGAAAUUGUUUUUAUUUGCAUGUUUUAUUUGGCUGCAAUGCAAUGACAACAUGUUCAGAGUGUAUUCCCGUUGCAACGCACGGGCAAUUUUCCUAUUUCCUAUUUCCUAUAUAUAUAUAUCUCCCUAAUAAUAAAGCACGGAUUGACUUUGUCGGGUUCACCGUCACAGUACGCUUCUUCCCAAUAAAGCACGGAUUGACUUUGUCGGGUUCACCGUCACAAUACGCUUCUUCCCAAUAAAGCACGGAUUGACUUUGUCGGGUUCACCGUCACAAUACGCUUCUUCCCAUGAAUUUACGUUUUCAGUUUUUUUCACCUAUAUUAUUUUCUACAUCCGAGGUGAUACUAUUGCUUCUUACCAUCGAAAUUCCGUCCGCUCAGAUCGAACACAAGCGACCUACAGCAUAUUGGGCUUCAACGUGUUCGGCCCAACAAACAAAUCGAGCGAAGAGACCGAUUAGAAGAGCUUCUUCCCAUGAAUUUACGUUUUCAGUUUUUUCACCUAUAUUAUUUUCUACAUCCGAGGUGAUACUAUUGCUUCUUACCAUCGAAAUUCCGUCCGCUCAGAUCGAACACAAGUGACCUAUAGCAUAUUGGGCUUCAACGUGUUCGGCCCAACAAACAAAUCGAACGAAGAGACCGAUUAGAAGACGAAUCAGAGGCCCAAAACAAGACAGAUCUGAACACGUCCUCCGUUCCUAAGUCGGCCAACACGCACGUUCUUCUUUCAUCUCCCACCCCGCAGAAAAAUUCAACCUCCACGGAUCCAUCGCCGCCACCAUACCAAGAUCCGGCGAGAGAGCGAUCGUCCCGGACGUGGGCGACCAUCUGGAACAUGGAGCUGCCAUGAAAACGCUCGAUGUCAUGGAGGGCGAGGUCAAGGUCCGCUACCUCGGCCACGAGCCCACGAUCUCAACUUGAGCUUGUCGAGGCAGAUGUUUUGCGAGCUGCUGGCGCGCCGUGUGCAGCCCCAGCGCCAACAAUAGCCCGAUCAUCCCAGCAGCCGAGGUAGCCAACCGGCUUGGCCUUUGCCCUCGCUGCGCCGCCGUCGAAGUGUGCGGCCGCGGUGGAGUAGCUCUACAGGGCGGCUGCACGGAGGCCGGCAGAAGCUUGUGAAGAGCCAUGACUGUGAUCGAUAGCAGCAAUCGCGAUUUUGAAUUCUUCUUUUGUUUCCCUUUGAGUUGAUGGGGCUAGAUGUACUUCAGACAAGGCUUCAACAAGGAAGAGCGGAAGACCACUAAUACUUUUUAGUAUUGGAUGAUGUAGUGUACUAUCUAUCUAUCCAUUCAAGAAAAUUGAUGGCGAUGGAAUCCGCGUGUGUGCGUGUGUGGCUGUGCCUCUGGUCGCUCGAUGGUUUUUCGGGUUCAGUAAAGUAAGAAACUGUUGGUCCUAUUCUGAAUUCUAAUAAUGUUGAUCACCAGGGAGAGGGAGAUCAGAGGACGGAUGGAAGGGAUGGCGAUAACGUUAUAUUCGAAAGGGAAUAACGCUGAAAUACCUUGCUAUUGCUACCUGUUAGAGUGCAUAAUUAUGAAGUAAAUUACUUGGCACUGCUUAGUUGCCAAACUUGACAGUUGCUAAGACCUUCUGUCGAUAAGAUACACAAACAUACAAUUCCAUGGUAAGUUAACGUCUUCUGAUGGAUUUUGUUUGCCUUUCUUGACAAGAAAACUAUAACUAUUUGCUUAUAGUUUAUCAAAGGUAAUCUGCCAGCGACAUGAGAAGUAUGUUCAUUGAUUUCAUGUGGACUAACUUACUGGAUGACUUUAUUCAUUUCUUAUAGCUUCACUCAAAUAAUUCUCCCUAUAUUUUUGGAUAAUUCAUUUCAUCCAAUAGUUGAUAGUUGCUUCAUUAUUACAAAAAUUGAUCAGACCGGAAAAGAGAUCUUAUGAUAGUUUUUUCGUUAUUACAAAAAAUUCAUCAGAGAGAAAAAUAAAUCUUAUCUGAGAGUUUGAUCUUUUCCCCAUUAUCUGAGAAAAGUUCUCCCUAGAUUGCGAAUGCAAUCGUGGCAUGAAAUUGUUAAGAGUGAAGACAUGCAUAUGGGUACUUUCCACUGGCACAUCACUCUGUAAUGAAAAGAAUAGCAUCAUAUUUUAUUUACCCAACUAUUGUUCUCCAAUACUAAUCAUAUUAUUUGCUUUCUACAGGUACUAUGUAGAGUAUUCAAAGAGGUCAUCUUCAUGAAGCUAGCAGAGGAUAGACAUUAGGAAAAAUGAGAGAUGAGGUUCCGUCGAUGAGGUCGAUCGGCUCAACCGCCGAUGCGAGCCCCCGCGGCUCGAUCCUACAUCGACUACAAUCUGAGGCCUGCACGAUCACAGUCCCACGCGAAGGAACGACGGAGCUCCAUGACCGAGCGCUGCGUCGGCGUACAGACACAGAUUAGAGGUGGCCGCAAACCAGCAGCGCUUGGUGGAUUCAUUGUGUCCUGCCGAUGAUGCUGGUUGGACUGGACCUGGAGAAAGAACACUCAGCUAGGAUGAACAUCCAGCAUGACUGUAUGAUGACGACGAGCCCUGAUUUACUGAAGACUGCGUACGAGUGGAUCAUCGCCACCUCCGAGGCCAACUCGCUCAUCUUCUCCAACUAUGAGUAGCUCCUCUACGAGUUCAACAUAGAUAUUGCCAGUCAUGAAUCAUGAUCAGUGCUGGUCGGAUGAUUACUUAGGCCAUCGAGCUGCCUAACGGCGAGGCGAGGAAGCCAUGUUCCUAUGUCAAGCUGGUGUCUGACCUCGUCAGCGCGGAGCCACAGUGGACAAGUUCACCAACACCAUCGACGAGGAGGCAUAUAACAGGCACCACCGGAGCACCUACACCCACCCCCUCCGGACAUCGAACCGGAACUCUAUUUGACAGCCCCAGUGUUUCAUCAGGUACAUGCAAAAGACAGUCAUAGGGCGCUUCCUAAUCAAGUCCUGAUCAAGUCGUGGUGUUGAUGAACGUCUAUUUGGCACUUAAUUACCCAACGAAAGGUGAAGCGUUUGUGAGGCGCAUGCAUGCGAGAGAGUCGACGACAAGUAAUUGUUGGCGGCAGCUUCAUCACAUCAUCAUGUUUGGUUUGUUCUCUACACGUACGUAUGCAAGGAGUUGAAAAAGUACUCGCCGGCGGCAGCUCAUCAUCUGCUAAUGUUUGCUUUGGCCUCUGCAUCGACACGUAUGUAUCUCCUGUUGCACUCAAGUUGAUGUGGGAAUCAUGCAGGUUUGAUCUACGCCCAUCCUUAAAAACCCGAUGUUUGAUUAUUACUCAGUAUGCUUUAGAUCUUCUUUUCAAAAAGAAAUUAUACUGAUUUUCUCUGAACCAAGUAUAUUCAUACGACUGCUGGGUUAAUAAUUGAAAGCACGAGGGUACAUAUUGUUUGCUAACAUCAACCCUAGAUCCAAACCUCUUGUGAUUUGGUCCAUGCUGUAGUUUUUUUUCCUGAUCUUACAAUUUAGGUCGGGUCUUGUGCGGUGAUAAUCUUUGCCAGACAAAAUCGUCCGGAUGUGGCCGUGGUGGAGUGCGUCUUUCGACACGAUGAGUCAGAAUCCGAAUGGAAUCAAAAGCGAAGAUAGCGGAUCAGAUCAAAAAAAUCUCUCCUGUUUCCGACACUAACUUCUCACUCUUCCCUAUUAUAUUAUAUUAGCGGCAGGAUGGAGGAAGGUGGAAAAUUAUGCAAGGAAAUUAAUCUUUGUUGAAAGUUCCUAUUAGGCGUUCUCAAUCUCGUCGAAUGUGAAUCUUGACCCUUUGACUCGGCUAAUUCUGAUUUAUGGUAAUUGAUGUUGGCUCCGUAUCGAAGCACCGAUGAACCAUGUAGUGGUUGUAGAAAUAUGAGCUAUUGAGCUUCCUUCCCAGUGGGCGAGUGCCUCGAGAACAAGAAGGGUCAAAUAGGAUGGACGAUUGAUUUUGGCUUCGGUUUUAUUCGCAUUGAGGGAUGGAGCAACGGAGGAGAGGACAUGCCAAAGAGAGAAUAUUCGAGCCUCCUUGAGAAAGUCAUCUUGAAAUAGAAGAUAUGGACAUGUUUGUUUGGGAGGGAGGGAUUAAGGCAUGGUUAUAAGCUAUGAGUGUGUGAUUCUUCCGUUGCAACGCACAUGCAUGUUUGCUAGUUCAUAUAAAAUUAUUUAUCUUUAA